rnacentral:rRNA from 1 species
CCUCACCCAGGUCCAGACAGCGUAAGGAUUGACAGGUUGAUUGUCCUUUCUUGAUUCUCUGGGUAGUGGUGCAUGGCCGUUCUUAGUUGGUGGAGUGAUUUGUCUGGUUAAUUCCGUUAACGAACGAGACCUUAACCUGCUAUUUAGUCGCUCGGUCCUUGUCCGCGCGCACUUCAUAGAGGGACUCUGCGGCGUCAAGCUGCGGUGAGGUUUAAGGCAAUAACAGGUCUGUGAUGCCCUUAGAUGUCCUGGGCUGCACGCGCGCUACACUGAUGCUUGCCUCGUGUUUACCCUCGGCCGAUAGGCCCUGGUAACCCCUAGUCUGCAUCGUGUUUGGGAUUGAUCUUUGCAAUUCUAGAUCAUGAACGAGGAAUGCCUAGGAUGCGCAAGUCGUCAGCUUGUAGCACAUUACGUCCCUGCCCU